UGGCAGAAUUUCUUCAACCUAAUCAGUGGGACAUUAGGAAGGGUGGAUGCCCAUAAGAUGCCGUUAUUUGAAAAUAUCCCCUACAGUUCUUGUCUGAUUGUAAUAAAGUAUCCCAGGCAGUG